rnacentral:rRNA from 1 species
CUGCGAGUGAAGCGGGAAAAGCUCAGACUGAAAAUCUUCGGAAUUGUAGUCUGGAGAAGUAUGGUCAGCCGAUGAUGAUGAGUGAAGUCUUCUGGAAAGGAGCGCCUUGGAGGGUGAUAGCCCCGUUCAUACUUAUCAUUAGAAGCGUACGACCUGCUUUCUACGAGUCGUGUUGUUUGGGACUGCAGCACUAAGUGGGUGGUAAAUUCCAUCUAAAGCUAAAUAUUGGUGGGAGACCGAUAGCGAACAAGUACCGUGAGGGAAAGAUGCAAAGAACUUUGAAAAGAGAGUUAAAUAGUACCUGAAAUUGCUGAAAUGGAACCGAUGGGAAGCAGUGUCGGUGGCGGGUAUUUAUACCUGUCACAAGCCAGGCUUCUUUUCUGGUGCGGGAAAGGCUGAUAAACUAGUUUAGGUUAUCUACGCCGUCGUGCUAGCGAAG